rnacentral:rRNA from 1 species
GGAAUCUUGGACAAUGGGGGCAACCCUGAUCCAGCCAUGCCGCGUGCGUGAAGAAGGCCUUAGGGUUGUAAAGCGCUUUCACUGGUGAAGAUGAUGACGGUAGCCAGAGAAGAAGCCCCGGCUAACUCCGUGCCAGCAGCCGCGGUAAUACGGAGGGGGCAAGCGUUGUUCGGAAUUACUGGGCGUAAAGGGCUCGUAGGCGGCCAACUAAGUCGGAUGUGAAAUCCCCAGGCUUAACCUGGGAACUGCAUCCGAUACUGGAUGGCUUGAAUUCGGGAGAGGGAUGCAGAAUUCCAGGUGUAGCGGUGAAAUGCGUAGAUAUCUGGAGGAAUACCGGUGGCGAAGGCGGCAUCCUGGACCGACAUUGACGCUGAGGAGCGAAAGCCAGGGGAGCAAAC